rnacentral:rRNA from 1 species
UUCCGUAGGGUAACCUGCGGAGGGAUCAUUACACAAAUAUGAAGGCGGGCUGGAACCUCUCGGGGUUACAGCCUUGCUGAAUUAUUCACCCUUGUCUUUUGCGUACUUCUUGUUUCCUUGGUGGGUUCGCCCACCACUAGGACAAACAUAAACCUUUUGUAAUUGCAAUCAGCGUCAGUAACAAAUUAAUAAUUACAACUUUCAACAACGGAUCUCUUGGUUCUGGCAUCGAUGAAGAACGCAGCGAAAUGCGAUAAGUAGUGUGAAUUGCAGAAUUCAGUGAAUCAUCGAAUCUUUGAACGCACAUUGCGCCCUUUGGUAUUCCAAAGGGCAUGCCUGUUCGAGCGUCAUUUGUACCCUCAAGCUUUGCUUGGUGUUGGGCGUCUUGUCUCUAGCUUUGCUGGAGACUCGCCUUAAAGUAAUUGGCAGCCGGCCUACUGGUUUCGGAGCGCAGCACAAGUCGCACUCUCUAUCAGCAAAGGUCUAGCAUCCAUUAAGCCUUUUUUUCAACUUUUGACCUCGGAUCAGGUAGGGAUACCCGCUGAACUUAAGCAUAUCAAUAAGCGG